UUGCUUCCGCUUUUUUAUUGUAAUAGGGCAGUAGUUAAAGCUAUGCUUCUAAAUUUAGCUACGGUUAGAAUAUUCCUAGUCAGUUUUAAGAGUGAUUGGCAGAAAUAAUUUUAUCGUACAGCUGUCAUGCUUCUGCGUUUUCAUUGCGGUUGUUUGUUAAAUUAGUGGCUUAUAGAAUAACUACGAAGUUUCAGCAAUGGCUGUGAUGGGCAUUCAGCUGGUGGUGAGUCUUCUGACGGCCAGCAUCAUGCAGAGAAUGGCACCACAUUGCUCUUUCGCUAGAUGGCUCCUUUGCAAUGGAAGCUUAUUUCGCUUCCGGCACCCAUCGGAAGAGGAGGUUCGAGCUUUAGCAGGAAAAGAAAAGCCCAGAUCUAAAAAAGACAGGUUAGU